CAGGGUCUGGAGCCCCCUGCCCGGGUUUGGGAUGCCCAGCCCAGGGUGGCUCAGUUCCCCACCUGCCCCAAGAUGGCACAGGCACACUCCUACAUCAAUCACACACAGAAAUCAUCCUUGCACACACACCCUGCACACCUGCACACACACACCCUGCACACCUGCACACACACACCCUGCACACACACACCUGCACACACACACACAUCACACACACCUGCACACACACACAGACCCUGCACACACAUCACACACACACCCUGCACACACACCCUGCACACCUGCACACACAUCACACACACCUGCACACACACACCCUGCACACACACCUGCACACACACACAGACCCUGCACACACAUCACACACACACUCUGCACACCUGCACACACAUCACACACACCUGCACACACCCCCUGCACACCUGCACACACAUCACACAGAACUGCACACUUAUCACACACCUGCACACCUGCAUACACACUCUGCACACACACACACCUGCACACUCACCUGCACACACAAACAAGGCCUGAUCACACAGAUCAUAUAAACACGACCACACACAUCAUGCCUGCACACACAAUGCGUGUGCACACACGCCAUGCAGGUGCACACAUCACUCGUGAACAUGUGCACACAGCUCACACCUGAGCACACAUCAUACCUGCUUGCACAAACACAGCACGGUGCCACGAGCACCCCGUGACUGCACACAGCACACCACGUGUGGUUACAGCACACCUGGUGGCACACACACAAAUCACACUCAAACACAGGUCAGGCAGGCUUGAACACACUCACCAUGCGUGUGCACACACAAAUCACACUCAGAAACACAGGUCAGGCAGGCUUGAACACACUCACCAUGCGUGUGCACACACAAAUCACACUCAAACACAGGUCAGGCAGGCUUGAACACACUCACCAUGUGUGUGCACACACAAAUCACACACAGAAACACAGGUCAGGCAGGCUUGAACACACUCACCAUGCGUGUGCACACACAAAUCACACACAGAAACACAGGUCAGGCAGGCUUGAACACACUCACCAUGCGUGUGCACACACAAAUCACACUCAAACACAGGUCAGGCAGGCUUGAACACACUCACCAUGUGUGUGCACACACAAAUCACACUCAAACACAGGUCAGGCAGGCUUGAACACACUCACCACGCGUGUGCACACACAAAUCACACUCAGAAACACGGGUCAGGCAGGCUUGAACACACUCACCAUGUGUGUGCACACACAAAUCACACUCAGAAACACAGGUCAGGCAGGCUUGAACACACUCACCAUGCGUGUGCACACACAAAUCACACUCAGAAACACAGGUCAGGCAGGCUUGAACACACUCACCAUGUGUGUGCACACACAAAUCACACACAGAAACACAGGUCAGGCAGGCUUGAACACACUCACCAUGUGUGUGCACACACAAAUCACACUCAAACAAAGGUCAGGCAGGCUUGAACACACUCACCAUGCGUGUGCACACACAAAUCACACUCAAACACAGGUCAGGCAGGCUUGAACACACUCACCAUGCGUGUGCACACACAAAUCACACUCAAACACAGGUCAGGCAGGCUUGAACACACUCACCACGCGUGUGCACACACAAAUCACACUCAAACACAGGUCAGGCAGGCUUGAACACACUCACCAUGCGUGUGCACACACAGGUCAGGCAGGCUUGAACAUGCUCACCACGUGUGUGCACACACAAAUCACACAGGGAAAUCACACACACAAAUCAUCUCACAUGUAUCACACACACAUAUCAUACACACACUUAUCUCACACUUAUCACGUCACACUUAUAAUGCACAUAUCUCACACUUAUCACAGCCAUAUCAUGCACAUGUAUCACACACAAAUCACACACAUCUCACACACAUAUCUUGCACACUUAUCACACCCAUAUCUUACACUUAUCACACAAGUAUCACACACGUAUCUCACCUGUAUCACACACAUAUCUUACACAUACCUUGCACAGUUAUCACACCUAUAUCACACACAUACCUCACACAUCACACACAUAUAUCUCACAUAUCUUACACCCAUAUCUCGCCCAUAUCACACACUUAUCACACACGUAUCACACACCUAUCUCACAUAUCUCACCCAUAUCACACACGUAUCACACACAUAUCUUACACACUUAUCACACCCAUAUCUCACCCAUAUCACACACUUAUCACACAGGUAUCUUACACAUAUCUUACACCCAUAUCACACCCAUAUCAAUUAUCUCACCCAUAUCACACACAUACUUGACACAUCACACAUAUAUGUCACACACAUCCCACACCCCUAUCACACCCCUAUCACACCC